rnacentral:rRNA from 1 species
CAAGUCGAGCGGAUGACGGGAGCUUGCUCCUUGAUUCAGCGGCGGACGGGUGAGUAAUGCCUAGGAAUCUGCCUGGUAGUGGGGGACAACGUUUCGAAAGGAACGCUAAUACCGCAUACGUCCUACGGGAGAAAGCAGGGGACCUUCGGGCCUUGCGCUAUCAGAUGAGCCUAGGUCGGAUUAGCUAGUUGGUGAGGUAAUGGCUCACCAAGGCGACGAUCCGUAACUGGUCUGAGAGGAUGAUCAGUCACACUGGAACUGAGACACGGUCCAGACUCCUACGGGAGGCAGCAGUGGGGAAUAUUGGACAAUGGGCGAAAGCCUGAUCCAGCCAUGCCGCGUGUGUGAAGAAGGUCUUCGGAUUGUAAAGCACUUUAAGUUGGGAGGAAGGGCAGUAAGCUAAUACCUUGCUGUUUUGACGUUACCGACAGAAUAAGCACCGGCUAACUCUGUGCCAGCAGCCGCGGUAAUACAGAGGGUGCAAGCGUUAAUCGGAAUUUACUGGGCGUAUAAGCGCGCGUAGGUGGUUCGUUAAGUUGGAUGUGAAAGCCCCGAUGC